rnacentral:rRNA from 1 species
UCGAUUUGGAGUUUGUUGCCCAGAGUGGUGGGCUCCGAAGCUAACGCGAUAAAUCGACCGCCUGGGGAGUACGGCCGCAAGGUUAAAACUCAAAUGAAUUGACGGGGGCCCGCACAAGCGGUGGAGCAUGUGGUUUAAUUCGAUGCAACGCGAAGAACCUUACCUGGUCUUGACAUCCACAGAAUCUUGCAGAGAUGUGAGAGUGCCUUCGGGAACUGUGAGACAGGUGCUGUAUGGCUGUCGUCAGCUCGUGUUGUGAAAUGUUGGGUUAAGUCCCGCAACGAGCGCAACCCUUAUCCUUUGUUGCCAUCGGUUAGGCCGGGAACUCAAAGGAGACUGCCGUUGAUAAAGCGGAGGAAGGUGGGGACGACGUCAAGUCAUCAUGGCCCUUACGACCAGGGCUACACACGUGCUACAAUGGCGUAUACAAAGGGAGGCGACCUCGCGAGAGCAAGCGGACCUCAUAAAGUACGUCUAAGUCCGGAUUGGAGUCUGCAACUCGACUCCAUGAAGUCGGAAUCGCUAGUAAUCGUGAAUCAGAAUGUCACGGUGAAUACGUUCCCGGGCCU